rnacentral:lncRNA from 1 species
AGCAUGAUCAGUAGUUAAAGUAUGUCUUCAGAACUUGGUUUAAAUGAGACUUUAGAGUCUUGGGUUCACAGGUUCUGAGUUUGUCUUUUAUCAGAGUCUUGAUCAAAACUAAUCUUGAUCAACACUUUCAGAGUUGAUGACUUGAUAUAGACAAUAAUCCUUUGAAGCAGAAUCUUCAAAACUGCUGAUGAAGCUUGUUCAGAAGUUGCAGAGGCAUUCCUUAUGACAUAGUCUGCUUGCUUCAAACUAAUU